AUUCUAGUUACCUGUUAAAGAUCUGGGAUAUUCCCACUUUUAAUGUGUUAGGAAUAUAGCUGUAAUGAGAACUGAUCCUUGAGAAUUUUUUUUAUAAGAAAUAUGUCUGAAGAUCAUAUUCACCUCAGUGCCCAGGGGCAGGCAAGCCACAAGGCCCACUCUAUGGACAUGAGCCCGUGCCAGGCAUGUGGAGGUGCUCUGAAACAGGAUCAAUUCAACGAUGGAAGAACAUGGUGGCUGUAGAAGUGGGAGGAGCAGAGCAUUUCACCUCUUACUCCAUGUUAUCAACACAAGAGGAGCAGAGCAUUUCACCUCUUACUCCAUGUUAUCAACACAAGAGGAGCAUCUCAACUCCUGCUCAACGAA